AAGAAAUUUUGACUAGUGAUGUGUUGCUUCUUCCUGCCUCAAACCACGCUGUGACCGUGAGCAGCAGGUAGUGGCACCUCUGGCUCCAUCACCCCCCAGCCUCUGCCUGGGCUGCUGCCGAGAGACAUCAUUGCUCAGAUUGUGCCCCUCUCCUCCAGCCCCGGCAGCAAAAUCAGUGUGCCCCGCACUAAUCCCACCACUUGGGACCUUAAAAGGUCCACUGUGCCCUCUCCUGCAUGCUCCACACCCAUCCUCUGUGCUUGUGAGCCUUUGGGUGCCUUUCACAGCUUCCCCCGCCCCAGACUUGAACAUUUCCACUUGGGAAAAUGCUAGUGCAAAGUUUAAGUGCCCCAACAUUUUGCACAGGUCAUUAUUUGUGUGCUCAGUUGUUUUUUAUGCCUGGUAAGCUCAGGAUGGAUUAUGGCUGUAGCAUCUGAGAUGGUCCUGCAACUGCUGCACAGUCCAGAGCCACAUCCUUGCUGUUCCCUGGUCUUCACCUCAUCAGCGCAUUUAUUGUUUUAUUAUAUUAUUUAUUCUACAUAGCUGCCUUGUUGGUUUUCCCUUUAGGAUGCUGAAAAAUCAGUACAUUUAAAUACUCCAUGAAUAAAAUGGCACUUGAAGUGGCUACUGACCUUCCUAUUGAUCUGAUAGGAAACAUUCCCAUGAAUUUCCCUCCACAAUAGCCCAGACCGCUCCUGGGGCGGGUGCUGACCCACUAUGUUGUUGAUGUUCAGCAGCUGGGUUUCACAGCAGGUUUUUCCCUUCCCUUCCCUUCAGUCCCUUUGCUUUUUGGGAUGGAUGGACUACAUGGGAUGGAUGUGCCAACCAGCCUCAUCCACACCUGAGACAGGGAUCUCAUGCUCCAGCCUGGGUCACCCCAGGUUAAACCUCAUGGAGUGAGCUGGCCCGGAGAGAGAUUUACAGCACCAAAUCCCAUCCUGACGCUGAAGAUGGAUAUUGAUAUUUCACUCACCACGGAUAUUUACCUACUUAGGAAAAAAAUAAUACAACACUAAGUGCUUUCUUCCCUGGGCAUGUUUUUGCCUGACAGUGUGUGUAAUCCUAAUCCCUCGGCAGGGCUAAGCCAGUGUCUGAGCAGGCAGGUGCCUGGCACGGGGAGGGACGCAGGGUCUGACGGGGCACCGGCACUGAAGAAAGGCUGGAGACGUUAAGCAAGGUGGCUGUGGCAGAAGAAGGAGAGGGAGAGUUAGUGUAGCUAAGAGGGAUCUGGGUCCUUCACCCUGCCGAUGCCAAAGGCUACCCAUGGACCAGGAACUUUGGGGCAGAGGCUGCGAUGUGGGAAAGCUCAGGUCCGGUUCAGAGGAAGACCAUGGUGGGCUGAAGGUGGGUGGAAAGGGCUGGAUGAUGCCAAGUAUGUCAGGUCUCCAGCUGGGACCGGGACACGGGGUCGUCUCCAGCAUUGUCCUCCCCAGAGGCUGAACUUGUCCGACUUCUAAUUUAGAAAAGGAAUGCCAAAGGAAGAAGGAACUGGUUUAUAUUUUCCCAAGAAAAGGCAGUCCCUUGAACUCUUCCCCCAACCAGGUGGGAUUAAGAAUUGCAGCUCUGGGUAUGUACAAACAUCCCCUUGUUUUCCCAGCACUGAGCUGGUGUAGGGGGCUUACAGAUCAUUACUGAAGUUUGGGUUGGUUUGGCAGCAAAAGGGUGACUCAGAGAACAAGUUCAGGUUAUGUUAUCAUAGGAUUAUGUAGCGUUUUAGAUGAAAAUCUUCUUUAAAGUCCUUGGGUCUUAGCCAGAUGUCAGAUUCCCCUCUGAGCAUGCACCCGAUGGGGCUCAGCUGCGAUAAAGCACCUCUCGAACAAAAUGGCUUUUACUGUGGGCAAAUAAGUCGAGCCUUGAAUGCCACAGAAAUAUAAAAGACAGUGGCUGGGUAUAGCCCAUGAUUCUGCUUGAGAGCUCUCAGGGCAGAGGGAUUCAGCUCCCAGUUAGCAGCAGCCUAUUCCAGUCCACCCAUUAAACCCCUCCAGUUUACAGGGUUUGAAUUUGGCCCUUAAACUGUUAAGAGUUGCUGAAGGAUGAGCAGCAGCUGGUGGGCUGCUCGUGGGGAUUUCUCCGCUCAUGUUUAAUGCAGCAGCCAGGAGCCGGACUCAGUGCGCUGUCACUCCAGUUUCAUAGCAAAGAGCAUCCUUCAUAUCCCUGACAGUGCAAGGUGAGGUCUGCUCUGCUUUAGCAGGGCUCUUCUUCCAAAAUCAACCUGCUCAGCCUCCAGCACGCACAUCCAUACUCUUUCUCUGCCCACCACCCAUCUCCUGGAGCUGAAGCCUCCAGUGCCUUCUCCAGAGCCAAUAACCCCAUGGGGACUGUGAAUAAAUGUCUUUGCUCCGAAUUAAACCAGAGCACCCAGAAUUUUAGCCUUUGCUGGCAACCCUGGGUGAUGGUGAGCUGAAUAUCAGCACUGACUGUUGCCAGCAUCCCCUGUGCUGUCGAAUUCUUUAAAAUGGCUUAAUCUGGGAAAUUCUGCAAUCCCUCAGCUGACUUCACAUGGAGAGAGAUCCAGGUGGCAUUUUGCAGUGCCAGCAACAAUCCUGUUAUCCUGGCUGUGUGUUUUAAACUCCCUUCAGUUGGACAUCCCUCAAAAGGAUGAGACAGUCAGCUCUGCAAUUGUCAGUGCUAAAGAAAUGGGAAGUUUUAGAAAAUCAAAAUCUUUGCAGGGAAUAGGGAAAAAAGCAGUGCCCCAGCAACUCCAUAAUGUCUGAGAUGUGUUAGCCCAGGCACAGGGCAGCACCAGGGAGCCUCCUUUCCCUGGCUGCUCAGGGGUUCCCAUGGGAAGCAACCUGAGAAGAAAUGACGAAUCCAUGUAAAAUCAUGGCUAUUUUGGUGAGUGGAAAACAAGCCAGAUCCUCAGCCCACUGGGGAGAUGAAAAUAGCAUCCUCUGGGGCUUUGCUUUGGAAAAUAUUUGGAAUAUCUUCAGAAAAAAAAGUGGGAAAAGUCAGAGUUAUGUUUAGUAACAGAAGCCAGUCAGCUCCCAAGCUGGAAGACAACGUGGGUAAGAGUAAUUUCGGUGCUCUGAAAUCACAUGUGGCCACGCACCAGGAUUCAGGUUCGAGCUCCACAACGAAGGGCGUGAGGAAGAACACUCUGCGGAGGACAGGGGGUCUUGUGCCCUGCAGACUGACUGAGUUUGCGGCUGGGGUGGCCGCAGUGGGGACACAUGGUGCUCCCGGCCCCAGCAGCAGCCCAGGGACGUGUGGGUGAAACACGGGCGGUUGCCGGUCGGGCAAUGGUAGCGCAUCCCUCCCCGGUGGCCUGGAGGGCCCUUAGCCCUGUGUUUCUCAUUAGCGUCAUUCAUAUUUUAUACCUUUUUCAAGCCUUCUGAUACAGGAAUGCUGGAAGCUCAUAAAUAAUGUCCACUGGUGCCAGACUGCAUUAAAACUUAAUGAAUUUUCUUCUGGGUCAAGUGAGUGGCCACAACCACAGCCCUUGGUUGGUCCUGACUCAGCUCCACUCCCUCUGAUUAGGUGCUCCAUCAUUGUCCUUCCCAUCCUCCAUCACUACCCUCUCUGUCCUCCAUCAUCACCCUCUCCAUCCUUCAUCACUGCCCUCUCCAUCCUCCAUCAUUGACCUUCCCAUUCUCCAUCAUCUCCUUCUUCAUCCUCCAUCGUUGUCCUUCCCAUCCUCCAUCGCUGCCCUCUCCAUCUUCCAUCAUCACCCUCUCCAUCCUUCAUCACUGCCCUCUCCAUCCUCCAUCAUUGUCCUUCCCAUUCUCCAUCAUCUCCUUCUCCAUCCUCCAUCACUGCCCUCUCCACCCUCUAUCGCUGCCCUCUCCAUCUGCCGGGUGGCUGUAGGGGAUCACAGCAUCAUUGCAUCCUGAGCACAGGAGCAGCCUUUGGCUCUGCCCGAUACUGAUGUCCCGGAGGAGCCAGCACGGAGGCUCAGGAGCCACCAGCCAAGCGCCUCUUUCCACAUGACCUGAAAUUCAGGGAUUUCUCUUGGACUCCUUUAGGGAAAAAAGGAGUUGAGCACUCACGUCUUGUUCCCUAGCAACACUGCUGCUUCCAAUUCCUGAUUUUUUUUUUCUUUUGGGGGGAUCCUUCAUGCGUUGUGCUCUGAGCCACAGAAACGCACCGUCCCUGGUGCAAGGGGGAACCCGGGCAGGCAGCCAGCACCGACACGUCCACAGCAGGGCUUGGAGACAAACCUCAAUGCGAUGGGUGCCAAGAGACACAGCCUUCCUUUUGCAACCCAAACUGCCUGUUUUUCAAAACAAAUGGCAUUCCUGAGAGUGCGUAACCAUGGGGAAACACAUGCCAGUGCCCUCCCCAGCCCUGCGGGUGCUGGGUGCUGGGUGCUGACGUCAAGUCAAAAUGUAGGCAAAAUGAUGAUGGCUAAUGGAGCACCGAGCUCUCCACAACUAAUGGGUGAUUUUCCAUGCGCACAGGAGGAGUUAUUCAAUAAAUCAGCCAUGAACAUCUCAGAGAAGAUUACUGCAAGUAGAAACAACUAUGGACUUAAACAAGGAGGGGAAGAAUUUUAAAGCAAUAUUUAAAGUUAUUUUAAAGUGUGCCACUGCUUGGAGGAGAGUUUUUCUUGCAGUGGUGGGGCAGAAAUAUGUAUUGUUACUAGUUAGGGCGGCUCUUUGCUGGAAAUGGUGGUUUCAGGCUUUAGGAGAUGGACCCAUCUCCCCCCAGUUUCUGCCGAGAGGUUUUGGGACUCCCCAACCCCACUGCAUUCACCAGCACCACUCUGUCUCCUAAAUUGUCUGAAAGGUAAAAUAGACUCCAAAUCUGGGGGCAAAUGCAACACGUGCA